CAUUCAUUCCGUAUAUAUUAAUUUAAAGCAAGGAAGGCAAUAUUCACACCAGUCUUCCUGAAGAAAUGGUGCCGUGGCUUAAUUUUAUUAUGUGACAGCUGUAAAAUCUAAAAACUAGAAAUAUAAUUGAAACAAAUGAUUUAUGCUCCACUACAUUAACACUGAAGUUAAUAUCUUACAAAGAUUGUAUUUACUUAGCUUGGCCUAUGUAGUUACUCAUGUUAUCAGUAAUAGGAACAAUAACUGGAAUGAGACUGUAGUACUUCCAUAAGUCAUUUUUUGACCCUUGCACUUUAUUUGAUUGAGUCAAAUCUUUUUAUGAGACCAAAUAAUUUCUGCCUGUUAAAGGAGUAGAUUUUAAUUAAAAUGGAUUUAUUCUUUUUCUUUCUGUUUGCAUACUGCCUUUGCUAAUUUUCUAAGGCUUUAUUGGGUUGAGUGCGUUAUCUACAGGGUGAAGCCCACAGAUCAGUUUCAGAAGUGAACAACAGCUAUGACAGCAGUGUCAGUGUGUGAGGGGGAUGCCUCUGCAAAAACACUGGGAACCCACAUUAAAUACAAGUACUGUCACAAAGGGUAUUUCCACUUCAUUGCCAGCAUACUCCCCAGCAACAGAACAAGCAUGUUGGUGAAGCAGUAACAGUUCAUGGAGCUGCCCUUCACAAACCUGGAAGUAGCUUUCAUCUUACUGGCUUUUGUCAUAUUCUCCUUGUUCACCUUGGCAUCUAUCUACAGUGACCCCCAUGGCAAGGAAGAAGAAGAAUGCUCUACACAGGAAGUAUACAGGAAAAGAAGCAAAUCCAACAAGAAAAAGACACAUGCAAACACAGCUGAAUUGGUUUAGAGAAAGAACUGUUACCCAGGUCCAACACUGGAAACACAUCUGAAAGAGAUAACCUUGGAAGCUGGUCACCUGGACACAGUGAGAAAAAGGGUGUGAGAAAGGAAGGACCUGAUCAUCCAUCAGAUGGAAUCCAGACGUGACAAUUAGAGUUAAUGAACCACGACCCAAGAAGCAGUUUCAGCACUUUUUACAAUCCCACUUCAUGGCCUCAGUAAAACUUUCAGGGCUUUUUUUUUUUUUUUCCCCCACAGAACACAUCUGCUCCAAAUUCUAAAGGGAGAAACUGGUUUCAGAAGUUACGUUUGGUUUCUUCCCCACUUUUCAGUCAUGAACGAGGUAAAUGCAAAACCUUUGUUAACUGAAAAUCAGAAGAUACUGCUUCUACGAUGAGAUUUUAUAGUAUUAUUACAGUAGCUAUUUAAUUUAUAUUAAAAUUAAUGAACUGAUACAGCUGACUGAAAAACACCAAGCAAAUAUUUUCAAAACAUAACCAGUAUGUUAUGUUCAAAUACUGGUUUUGGCCUCAGAUACUCAGAAAGCUAAGAGAAUGUCUCAAAGAAGGAAAAAAAAAAAAGAAGUUGACUGAUACCUAAGUCUUCUAUUUCUUCACAGAGCAGGUAUAGCUAAUGAAGCAGUGCCUCUUUAUCCCCAAAGUCCAGAAGAUCUGCUGAACUUCUAAGCCUGUGAUGCAAUUGAUCUUUCUUUCCCUAUGGGGAAAGUAUUCCUGCAGUGAGAGCCUCCCAAUAGUUUCUCAGAAUCACAAAAAUCCAUCCAUUUGGUCUUUUGCUGUUACGUGGGAUGAAGGAUUGAAAUAGGGCCAAACAACUCUUGGUGGCUCUCUUCCCAUACUAGAUACACCGUUCCUUGGCUUCCUCCUAAGAUGUGCUACCAAAAUAUAACAAUUCACUCUGAAACCUGCUAC
ensembl:lncRNA